CCUACGGGUGGCAGCAGUGAGGAAUAUUGGUCAAUGGGCGGGAGCCUGAACCAGCCAAGCCGCGUGAAGGAUGAAGGUACUGCGUAUCGUAAACCUCUUUUGUCAGGGAACAAAGGCGGGGACUAGUCCCCUGUUGAGGGUACCUUAAGAACAAGCAUCGGCUAACUCCGUGCCAGCAGCCGCGGUAAUACGGAGGAUGCGAGCGUUAUCCGGAUUUAUUGGGUUUAAAGGGAGCGCAGGCGGCUCAUUAAGUCAGGGGGGAAAGGCCGGGGGUCAACCCCGGCGUUGCCGUUGAAAUUGGCUGGCUGGAGUUGAGGAGAGGUAGGCGGAAUGCGCGGUGUAGCGGUGAAAUGCUUAGAUAUCGCGCAGAACCCCGAUUGCGAAGGCAGCGUACCGGA
rnacentral:rRNA from 1 species